UUCAGUUCAAAAUUUCUAAUUUAAUUUCACUCUUAGAAGAUAAGCAUGAGUGAACCUCCAAAGUAUGCUUACCCUUACCCUGCUCAAGGUUAUUACCAAGGACCGCCGGUGGUGGCGCCGCCACAGUAUGUGGCGGCUCCACCUCCACAAAGGAAACCUGGAUUUUUGGAGGGAUGCCUUGCUGCUUUGUGUUGCUGUUGCCUGAUGGACGAAUGCUGUGAUCUGUUAUGUUUUUUCUAGAACGUACAUAUUUGCAGGCUGAAGGUACAACUCUUGUUUUUGUAUAGUAUGCCAAUUUAAAAUGGCUCUGUUGUUGUAAAAUGAUUUACUUUGUAUUAGUUAAUUCAGAGUGGUGGUUGUUUCUUAUAUAUGUAGAUUUUAAGGUAUAAAUCAUAUUUUAUUUGGGUAAAUUACGAAAGCAUCCCUCAUGUUUGGGUAA